rnacentral:rRNA from 1 species
GACGAACGCUGGCGGCGUGCUUAACACAUGCAAGUCACGGGGGGCCCGCAAGGGUCAACCGGCGAACGGGUGCGUAACACGUGAGCGACCUGCCCAGUUGCGGGGGAUAGCCGGCCCAACGGCCGGGUAAUACCGCAUACGUUCCUCUGGGGGCAUCCUUGGGGGAAGAAACCUACGGGGCGAUUGGAGGGGCUCGCGGCCUAUCAGCUAGUUGGCGAGGUAACGGCUCACCAAGGCGAUGACGGGUAGCUGGU